rnacentral:rRNA from 1 species
UGUUGGGGUUGUAGGACACUCUAUACGGAGUUACAAAGGACGACAUUAGACGAAUCAUCUGGAAAGAUGAAUCAAAGAAGGUAAUAAUCCUGUAGUCGAAAAUGUUGUCUCUCUUGAGUGGAUCCUGAGUACGACGGAGCACGUGAAAUUCCGUCGGAAUCUGGGAGGACCAUCUCCUAAGGCUAAAUACUCUCUAGUGACCGAUAGUGAACCAGUACCGUGAGGGAAAGGUGAAAAGCACCCCGGAAGGGGAGUGAAAUAGAACCUGAAACCGUGUGCUUACAAGUAGUCAGAGCCCGUUAAUGGGUGAUGGCGUGCCUUUUGUAGAAUGAACCGGCGAGUUACGAUUUGAUGCAAGGUUAAGCAGUAAAUGUGGAGCCGUAGCGAAAGCGAGUCUGAAUAGGGCGUUUAGUAUUUGGUCGUAGACCCGAAACCAGGUGAUCUACCCUUGGUCAGGUUGAAGUUCAGGUAACACUGAAUGGAGGACCGAACCGACUUACGUUGAAAAGUGAGCGGAUGAACUGAGGGUAGCGGAGAAAUUCCAAUCGAACCUGGAGAUAGCUGGUUCUCUCCGAAAUAGCUUUAGGGCUAGCCUCAAGUGAUGAUUAUUGGAGGUAGAGCACUGUUUGGACGAGGGGCCCCUCUCGGGUUACCGAAUUCAGACAAACUCCGAAUGCCAAUUAAUUUAACUUGGGAGUCAGAACAUGGGUGAUAAGGUCCGUGUUCGAAAGGGAAACAGCCCAGACCACCAGCUAAGGUCCCAAAAUAUAUGUUAAGUGGAAAAGGAUGUGGCGUUGCCCAGACAACUAGGAUGUUGGCUUAGAAGCAGCCAUCAUUUAAAGAGUGCGUAAUAGCUCACUAGUCGAGUGACACUGCGCCGAAAAUGUACCGGGGCUAAACAUAUUACCGAAGCUGUGGAUUGUCCUUUGGACAAUGGUAGGAGAGCGUUCUAAGGGCGUUGAAGCAUGAUCGUAAGGACAUGUGGAGCGCUUAGAAGUGAGAAUGCCGGUGUGAGUAGCGAAAGACGGGUGAGAAUCCCGUCCACCGAUUGACUAAGGUUUCCAGAGGAAGGCUCGUCCGCUCUGGGUUAGUCGGGUCCUAAGCUGAGGCCGACAGGCGUAGGCGAUGGAUAACAGGUUGAUAUUCCUGUACCACCUAUAAUCGUUUUAAUCGAUGGGGGGACGCAGUAGGAUAGGCGAAGCGUGCGAUUGGAUUGCACGUCUAAGCAGUAAGGCUGAGUAUUAGGCAAAUCCGGUACUCGUUAAGGCUGAGC